rnacentral:rRNA from 1 species
ACUAGGAUUAGAUACCCUAUUAUAUUGAGUGUGAAUUUAUUUUCUGGAUAGUAUUAGUUAUGUCCUUGAAAUCUAAAGAUUUUGGCGGUAUUUCAGUCCAUUCAGAGGAACCUGUCCUGUAAUUGAUGGUCCACGAUUUUAUUUACUUUUUCUUUUAGUUUACAUAUCUUCGUAGUAGAGUAUUUUAAAAGAAGAUUAAUGUUCAAGUUUUUUCUAAGAGAAAAAAUCAGAUCAAGGUGUAGCUUAUGGAAAAGUAGUGAUGGGUUACAUUAUUUUUAUUUUGGGAUAAGAAUGCUUAGGUGUUCUUUAAACUUGGAUUUGAUAGUAAUUUUAAUUAAUUAAUUAAUUUGAUUAAGGCUCUGGGGUAUGUACAUAUCGCCCGUCGCU